GGCUCCAGCUCCCCCCGCGACCCUUGUGAGGAUAAAGCGGAUCCAAAAAUGGAUGGAUGGAUAAUGCGCUCGGCGUGAAAGGGGCUCGAGUGACCCACGCUCUCGUCAGCACACACAACCCCGUGCAACCCCGACAACCACUGCCCUUGGGAAAAUCCUCAACCCCCUUGGAAAACCCUUGCUCUCCACGUUGAGCUUUGAAGGCCGCCCUCUCCUCUUACCCUGGACGCUUCCUUCCUGCGAAACCCGUCUGGCAUCGACUUGCCAAUCUGGCCCAAAAAGGGAUCUGUUCACAACUUGAAGUGCUUCUCGGGGCUUCCAGAGCAGCUGCGCAGAAUCAGGAAGCGGGCCCGGGGAACCAGGGAAGGGCGGCCGGAAGGCGGUCGCCAGGUGGCACGUCCCCCCGGUGAAUCUCUGUUGGAGACCAUCAUAUCUCUCUGUCCAGGCGGGGGUCGCCGCGGCGUGGAGGUGAAACUCAGGCUCCCGGGGCGGGGGUUGCCCCUCUUUAGCGAAUGAUACCAAAGUCUACGCCCCGCCCCCAGAGAAUGCGGCGCUCCCGCUUCCUGACGUCCGCUCCACGCCGCUUCACCUCUGCCAGACUUUGGCAGCUUCAUUCCUGAAUGUGAACAUUUCCUCUCUUCAACUGUUUGCCGCCGUUAGUGUAGAAAAGCACAAAACUGAUUUUUAUUUAUUUUUUUUAAAACAACUUUGAAUGUCGCUCAUUUUUAUUUUCAGGCUAGCUUUCGCACUUUGCUACUGUUCUUUAGUCUUAUGUUAAGAUCAUGGUUUCUUUAAAUUUUGAAUCUUGGACUUUUGCUUUAAAAGGCUAAAGUAGGUGCUUUCAAUAUGAUUAAAAGUGUUUCAGAAAAGGAAUGAAACUGCUGGGAGGUGAUAUCAGCGAACUCGCAUUCCGCUACGUUGCCCUCCGACUUCUGUCAUCACUUUUCUUCUCUCUGUCCUUCUGUCUUCUUUCAAUGCAACUUUCGUCCAAAGCUUUUUCUCGCAGCCACGCAUUCCCAAAACAAGUCCCGCGUUUCAAAGAAUCAAACCAAAGAGCUCAAACUUUCUUGAUUCCGCUCUCAAAUCAUGUCACCUAGCGACCUGCCGCUCUUUUACAACCUCAGCUAUCCAAAGGGAAAUAAUGAAGAUAAUGAUGAUGAAAUGUAUAUUUUUGAGUAUUUGUCAUUGGGGGGGAAAAAAUAAUCUGAGUUAGGAUUAUCUUGACGACGAUAAUAAUGAAGUUUCUCUUGGUAUCUUUGUAGUUGUUCCGACCCUUCUUGAGUUCUUGUCCUUUUUCUGCCAAAGUAUACCCCCACCUUCCCCCGCCCCCUUUGGCCCCGAUGUUUACUCCCCACGGUAUAUUUGAGUGUGUGUUGGCGCGUUUGUUGAGGGGUUUCUCUGGGAGUGAUCACUUGCCAACUUCCUCGUUCAUGUAGCUUUAUUUUCCCCUGUCAGUCUGCGGCGGAUGUGUUUGAACGUAUGGAUGAUAUUAUGCCCCUUGACUUCCUAUUGUGACUUCCAUCAUGUGAGCCCCCCCCCCAAACCCUCGUAGUAGCGAUUUUUUUUUUGUGUUUAACUCGAACCCCCCGCCCCCCAAAAAAAAAACAAAAACAAAGAAUACUCUGCUUGUUCAUUGUACAGUGUUGUUCAUUUUAAGUCAUUUUUGUAACUGAACGUGUUUCAUUCAUCCAAAUAAAAACAGGAGACAAAAACUAUACAGGUGCCCCUCCCCACUGCUUCUUCCGACAGCACCAAAGCCUGUAGGGACACAAUUGCGCCGCCAGAUGGCGCCAAAGGAUUUAUGAAUGGCAGAAAGACAACGUGAGACCAUGGGAGAAAAUGGACUCGCAUAGAAUGGAGUGGAAAUUUCAGGGGGACCGGAAGGUGUGUUCCCAUCCCCGGUAAAAUGUAUUGAGUGGGACUCGAGAGAGAGAGAAAGGAUUUAUCGUCGACCGCGCGUCGGGAAAGAAAUCCUGCCCCAAGUGAAAGGGAGGAUCUAGCCAAAAGAUCGGCAGGUGUAUCGGUGCGGCAUCUGCAAUGAGGCGAACUAUAUCGGACCAUCGUGGUGAAGAGGAAGCCGACCUUCCCUGCUCAAGUUACCGCCUCCGAGACCCGACCUCGGAUGGAUGAUGUCGGAAUCUUGAUCUGGAAAUACUCAAAGGGAAAAUGUUUUCCUGCCCGUUCUCAAAAGUAGAGUCAAGCAGAUAAUUGCCAUUGCAACUGAGCUGUCCCCAACUCCAAAGUCUAUCGAACCAAAAAGUGUGUGAGACUCCAACUUCAAAAGUGAAUCUCUUUGUUGACAAACAAGCGGGUAAUUAAAACUCUUGCCUAUUUGACGAUUUAAUAUCACUACAACAUACAUUUGCAUACAAGCGAGCCGAGCAGACACAAACACAUGAGAGCGUUUGUUUUGGCUUUUAACGGUUUUUAAUUAACCCUGAUUACAGCGUAAUUACAACUUUUGGGGAGGGAAGGGAGGAGCGGCUGGAGAAAAAAAAA